CAAGUGGAUUGGAUGGUCGCGCUCAUUGAAAUUUCAGUGGGUGAGGAAAGUCCGAACACCCCCCGCCGAUGCUUCGCAUCGGAAAUUCCAAAUCACAAAACACAAAUUCCAAACCGUUUGGAACUUGGUGCUUGGGGCUUGGUGCUUCCGCUGCGGAGCAACGGUGGGGAAGUAGGCAGUCGCUAACGGCGACCGGGAGCAGUUCUCUCCCAUGCAAGCGCGGAUCACGAACUACUGCGAAUAGCGCAUUCGUGACUGUUCGCGGUAUGCGCCGCAUUGCUUUGGUGGGAUGAAGCCCAGGGAAAGUGCCACAGAGACUUAUACCGCCUUGCCCGAUGCUUUGCAUCGGGCGGGGUAAGGGUGAAAAGAGUGGGCCCGCCUUCGCGCGGGAUAGCCUGCCCAAAGUUCUGCGAGAGCAAAGCUUCGGCGGGUAAAGUAAAAGCCCACAGUUCUGGUGGGUGACCGCCAGAAGAGGAAAACCCUGCCUGGUGCAAGGCCAGCGUUUCCGCCAGCUGGCGGAUUCGAAAAGUUAGGCCGCUAGAGGUCGCGAGCAAUUGCGAUCCCAGAUAAAUGGCUAUCGGGGCAUGCGGCCUGUAAACCCACCGAUGCUUCGCAUCGGAAAUCCCAAGUCACAAAACACAAAUUCCAAACCGUUUGGGAU
rnacentral:RNase_P_RNA from 1 species